rnacentral:rRNA from 1 species
GACGAACGCUGGCGGCGUGCUUAACACAUGCAAGUCGAACGAAGUGGCGAACGGGUGAGUAACGCGUAAUCAACCUGCCCUUCAGAGGGGGACAACAGUUGGAAACGACUGCUAAUACCGCAUACUGAAGGAGGGGAUUGCGUCUGAUUAGCUAGUUGGAGGGGUAACGGCCCACCAAGGCGAUGAUCAGUAGCCGGUCUUGGGGGAUGAACGGCCAAAUGUGGACUGGGACACGGCCCAGACUCCUACGGGAGGCAGCAGUGGGGGAUCUUCCGGAAUGGACGGAAGGCGGACUGAGCAACGCCGCGUGGGUGAUGACGGGCUUCGGGUUGUAAAGCUCUGUUAAUCGGGACGCGGUACCGGAAUAGAAAGCCACGGCUAACUACGUGCCAGCAGCCGCGGUAAUUC